GUGUUGAAACAGUAGUUCCCAUAUGAUCCCUGAAGUUAAGCAGCAUCUGGUCUGGUCAGUAUCGAGAUGGGUGAUCACUUGGGAAUACUAGGUACUGUAA